UACGUAGGGUGCGAGCGUUGUCCGGAAUUAUUGGGCGUAAAGAGCUCGUAGGCGGUGUGUCACGUCGGCCGUGAAAACCUGCAGCUUAACUGUGGGCGUGCGGUCGAUACGGGCAUCACUGGAGUUCGGCAGGGGAGACUGGAAUUCCUGGUGUAGCGGUGAAAUGCGCAGAUAUCAGGAGGAACACCGGUGGCGAAGGCGGGUUUCUGGGCCGAUACUGACGCUGAGGAGCGAAAGCGUGGGGAGCAAACAGG
rnacentral:rRNA from 1 species